UUUUGUUCUGUCUGUGAUUUUGUAGAUCUGGAUGUUCAGCUGGUCUCAGAUCAAGCAUCCUCCUCUGUACUGACUCCACUAUCCCCAGCUUCAUCCCAUUCAUCAGAUUCCACAAUUGUCCUGGAGUCCAGCAAGAAAGAGGAGGAACCCAACAGGGUUAAUGGAGCAGAAUGAAGCAAGACAGGUAAGCUUUGAAUAAAUGCAUUUAAAAUCCUCAAUUACAUAAUUGUUUAUUAUUGAUACUUAUCUGUAGAAGUGUUUUGUAAAUGUAUUCUCGACAUAAAGGAAAGGCAUUAAAAAUCCUCUUAAAUUUCCAUGAGCAUGUCAUAACAAUGUAAGAUGUUUUGGCAGAAAGUUGAUUGUGUUCUGAGGGUCAAUCCAAAGGGUGAGGAAAUCUUCAAGGAGUAUGAAAAGACCAAAACAUUAGCAGAUGUCACACAUAAACAGAUGGUGAACGCCAUUUCUUGCAAAACAUACACACUUGCAAAGUAAACUGAUUUAUUUUGAAAGGAGGAUUCCAUCCUCAAGUGUGAGGACCAAUUAUGCACUGGGAAUUGUGACACUUUUUCCAUACCUCCAAGAUCCUUUCUCCAAACAUGGAUAUGAACACUACUAUGAUCCUUUAGGGUAAUACUGGCUUCAUUGCAUGGAGGAUCAAGACAGUUCAACAUAACACCUGUGCUGGCUCCCGGUGUCAUUCCAAGACUGUUCUUCAGGAUGGUCCAAAAACCAGACGAGAAUCUCUGUUAUUCUGUCAACAGCGAUUUGGUGAGGAGUGCAGGGAGGCGAUAUCUACAAUACGAUAUUCCACUGAUGAAUCUGUGGUCAAAGAGAAGAUGAGAGCGACUUUCCAGUAUCGGCAGAAGAUGGUCGGUGAGGAUGCAUCAUCUUCAGUCCUGGAUUUGUUCACUCGUUUCCUUGCUGUAUCUGGAUUGGUAAGAAAAUAUUUAGCUUUGGAAGUAGUUUUGAAAAGGAAAUGACCUUCUCUGUAGUUAUUAAAUGAGUUCACUGGUACAGCAGAGAAAGGAGUUGUUCAAUGAUCACCAUAACAACAACAGGCCGGUCCAAACUGAGAAAUUCAACGUUCUAAUCUUUUAUAUCCCAAAUGUAUGCAUAAAUAACACAGCAGAUCUUAAUUUUUAGUAUUUGACCUUUUAUCCAUUUAUGUCCGUUAUGUUUAAACCUGUAUAAACCUUAUUUAAAGAUCGACCAGGAUUACUCCAUGAUGUUUGGUGACGAAGUGUCCAAGAAGUUCCUGGCAAAGUGGUCAAUAUUCUUCAAGCCAAACAUCAUUGCAGACUGCAAGACUCUUAAGAAUAUGGGCGAGCUGCUGUCAGGAACUGAACCUGAAUCUGAGGACUACAAUGGAUGGGACAGCGAUAUGUCCUCAAUCCUUUUGCAGCUGCAUCUGCUCCCUCCAACCUCAAGAGGCCAGAAAAAAAAAUAUCCAAGAUCAGUUCAGCUCAAGCAACCAGCCAUCUUGUGAGCUAUCUUAAGGAAGGAGCCAGUGUGACUACCUUCAUUGAGAGUGCUGACACAAGACAACCAUUCCUCCUCUGUAUCAGUGAGCGAAAGAAGGAUAUCCCAAAGUUCUACAUUAUUAUCGACCCAAAACUGAUCCCAUGUAAGGCGCACACGUCAGUGGCAGCUUUUGAUGAACUGUUCAAAGUUCACUAUGUCUUCAGUUUCUCAUAUGAUGAAGCUCUUUGUGAUUUCUACACAUUUAUCCAAACCACCAUCUAUAACAUCGAUGUCGGAAGAGCAAAGCAGAGCCCGCGUGUUAAAGAACUUCGAGCACGAUUGCUGCAGCGAAAUUAACAGCCUUGAAGAUGUUCACGUGUUUUGUAUGUAAAGCACACCUCAGAACUUGUUUGGCUCUUCGUCAACAUUUGAAAUUUCAACAUGGUUUAUAUCCUAGCAAAAAGUUACAUUUAAAAUGUGGAGAGCCAAGUCGCCUGUUAUCAUUUCCAAAACCAUGCACUGUUCUCGCAGCAAAAGCACACUUUACAGAUUCUACUCUAUUACAACGAUUUUGAAAUUGCUAACCCUCUAGGUUGCAAGAGGGGGAUCCACAAACUUGGUUGUAUCUAUUUUACU